GCCGGGCGCUGUGGCGCACACCUGUAGUCCCAGCAACUUGGGAGGCUGAGGCAGGAGGAUCGUGAGUUCAAAGCCAGCCUCAGCAAUUUAGCAAGGCCCUAGCAACUUAACGAGACCCUGUCUCAA
rnacentral:sRNA from 1 species